rnacentral:rRNA from 1 species
GCCUAAGAGAUUAGGUGUUCCCUUCGGGGACAGAAUGACAGGUGGUGCAUGGUUGUCGUCAGCUCGUGUCGUGAGAUGUUGGGUUAAGUCCCGCAACGAGCGCAACCCUUAUUGUCAGUUGCCAGCAUUAAGUUGGGCACUCUGGCAAGACUGCCGGUGACAAACCGGAGGAAGGUGGGGAUGACGUCAAAUCAUCAUGCCCCUUAUGACCUGGGCUACACACGUGCUACAAUGGACGAUACAACGAGUCGCUAGACCGCGAGGUUAAGCUAAUCUCUGGAAGUCGUUCUCAGUUCGGAUUGCAGGCUGCAACUCGCCUGCAUGAAGUCGGAAUCGCUAGUAAUCGCGGAUCAGCAUGCCGCGGUGAAUACGUUCCCGGGUCUUGUACACACCGA